rnacentral:rRNA from 1 species
UACGUAGGUGGCAAGCGUUAUCCGGAUUUAUUGGGCGUAAAGGGAACGCAGGCGGUCUUUUAAGUCUGAUGUGAAAGCCUUCGGCUUAACCGGAGUAGUGCAUUGGAAACUGGGAGACUUGAGUGCAGAAGAGGAGAGUGGAACUCCAUGUGUAGCGGUGAAAUGCGUAGAUAUAUGGAAGAACACCAGUGGCGUAAGCGGCUCUCUGGUCUGUAACUGACGCUGAGGUUCGAAAGCGUGGGUAGCAAACAGG